GUCAAAAUGGCCGAGUGGUCUAAGGUGCCAGACUUAUGAGAUGGAGGCGUGGGUUCAAAUCCCACUUCUGACA